rnacentral:misc_RNA from 1 species
AACAAGGCGUACCUGCGGACCUGCGGAGGGAUCAUUACAAGUGACCCCGGUCUAACCACCGGGAUGUUCAUAACCCUUUGUUGUCCGACUCUGUUGCCUCCGGGGCGACCCUGCCUUCGGGCGGGGGCUCCGGGUGGACACUUCAAACUCUUGCGUAACUUUGCAGUCUGAGUAAAUUUAAUUAAUAAAUUAAAACUUUCAACAAUGGAUCU